GACUGUGCGGUUCGAGACGCGACGGUAAGACCGAGGGGGUGAGCGUUGUUCGUGCUGACUGGGCGUAAAGCGUACGGAGGCAGACGAGAUCGAUGAGGGUUGAAUCCCGCGGCUGAACCGCGGAACGGCCUUCUAAUCUAUUGGGCUGGAGUUCGCGAGAGGUGAUGGGAAUUCCGAGUGUAGAGGUGAUAUUCGUAGAUAUUCGGAGGAACACCAGUGGCGAAGGCGGCUCACUGGCUCGAUACUGACGCUGAGGUGCGAAAGCGUGGGGAGCAAACAGGAUUAGAUACCCCGGUAGUC
rnacentral:rRNA from 1 species